AUGCUGGAGGUAUCAGAAGUGCGAAUGCUGACAUAAGUAACGAUAAAGCGGGUGAAAAGCCCGCUCGCCGGAAGACCAAGGGUUCCUGUCCAACGUUAAUCGGGGCAGGGUGAGUCGACCCCUAAGGCGAGGCCGAAAGGCGUAGUCGAUGGGAAACAGGUUAAUAUUCCUGUACUUGGUGUUACUGCGAAGGGGGGACGGAGAAGGCUAUGUUGGCCGGGCGACGGUUGUCCCGGUUUAAGCGUGUAGGCUGGUUUUCCAGGCAAAUCCGGAAAAUCAAGGCUGAGGCGUGAUGACGAGGCACUACGGUGCUGAAGCAACAAAUGCCCUGCUUCCAGGAAAAGCCUCUAAGCAUCAGGUAACAUCAAAUCGUACCCCAAACCGACACAGGUGGUCAGGUAGAGAAUACCAAGGCGCUUGAGAGAACUCGGGUGAAGGAACUAGGCAAAAUGGUGCCGUAACUUCGGGAGAAGGCACGCUGAUAUGUAGGUGAAGUCCCUCGCGGAUGGAGCUGAAAUCAGUCGAAGAUACCAGCUGGCUGCAACUGUUUAUUAAAAACACAGCACUGUGCAAACACGAAAGUGGACGUAUACGGUGUGACGCCUGCCCGGUGCCGGAAGGUUAAUUGAUGGGGUCAGCGCAAGCGAAGCUCUUGAUCGAAGCCCCGGUAAACGGCGGCCGUAACUAUAACGGUCCUAAGGUAGCGAAAUUCCUUGUCGGGUAAGUUCCGACCUGCACGAAUGGCGUAAUGAUGGCCAGGCUGUCUCCACCCGAGACUCAGUGAAAUUGAACUCGCUGUGAAGAUGCAGUGUACCCGCGGCAAGACGGAAAGACCCCGUGAACCUUUACUAUAGCUUGACACUGAACAUUGAGCCUUGAUGUGUAGGAUAGGUGGGAGGCUUUGAAGUGUGGACGCCAGUCUGCAUGGAGCCGACCUUGAAAUACCACCCUUUAAUGUUUGAUGUUCUAACGUGGACCCGUGAUCCGGGUUGCGGACAGUGUCUGGUGGGUAGUUUGACUGGGGCGGUCUCCUCCUAAAGAGUAACGGAGGAGCACGAAGGUUGGCUAAUCCUGGUCGGACAUCAGGAGGUUAGUGCAAUGGCAUAAGCCAGCUUGACUGCGAGCGUGACGGCGCGAGCAGGUGCGAAAGCAGGUCAUAGUGAUCCGGUGGUUCUGAAUGGAAGGGCCAUCGCUCAACGGAUAAAAGGUACUCCGGGGAUAACAGGCUGAUACCGCCCAAGAGUUCAUAUCGACGGCGGUGUUUGGCACCUCGAUGUCGGCUCAUCACAUCCUGGGGCUGAAGUAGGUCCCAAGGGUAUGGCUGUUCGCCAUUUAAAGUGGUACGCGAGCUGGGUUUAGAACGUCGUGAGACAGUUCGGUCCCUAUCUGCCGUGGGCGCUGGAGAACUGAGGGGGGCUGCUCCUAGUACGAGAGGACCGGAGUGGACGCAUCACUGGUGUUCGGGUUGUCAUGCCAAUGGCACUGCCCGGUAGCUAAAUGCG
rnacentral:rRNA from 1 species